UUUUGCAUGAUUCGAAAUGUAUUGCUGCGUAGUGUUGCAAUUGUUAUCACCUAAAGAUUUAUACCUCAUAUUAUUAAGAUUUUUUUCAUCAUUUUAUGUGCAAGGACAUCACUACUGUAUUUGGCAACAUAAACUCUAAAACUCUAACCAGCAAGCACUUCAAGACUAAUAGAUUACUGUUUCAAACCAAACGAACAACUGUUUACCAACACAAACCAAAACCAAAAAGCAUCUCAAAGCCACUUGGGGUUCUUACUGUUCUCCCUCACAGACUCUUAGUAUACAUGCAACACCAUAUCAUUAGAUUCUACAAUAACACAUUUUAAACCGUCUAUUCUACCUAAGAUCGCUGCGCAAUUGACGAAAGUAGCCUCUAGGGUUUUGCUCGAAUCUAGACCGAAAAAUGCGCAUAUUUCGCCCCGGAGCUUUCAUAGUCUUGCCACACUUGCAACAAUAUGAGCAAGCUUUUAUGAACACCACAAGCAUCAAGAUCACGACAAUUGCUAAGCCGAUGAUCUUCACGACUCCUAGUUGCUCCCAUUUGAUGUUGGUUAUAGAGGUCCAAACUAAACUUAUGGAACAACAUGAAAAUAUGAUCCCUCAUUAGCAUAAUUGAAAACUUGUAAAAUAAUUGCAAAAAUAGCUCCGUGGUGUGAAUCUCAGUUUUCAAAGGAAUCAAUCAUGGGUUGGAACUCUAUGCCUCAAAGAAACCCAGCUUACUAACCGGAAGACAAUGAAAAUGUGAACCAAAAUAGUCAUACUGUGAGGCCCAAACUAUGCAUUGCAAUGACCACCUAAUUUAAAUGUGGAAACAAUUUUAAAAUUUGAGAAAAAUAGAGAAAUUGGAAAAACAAGGGAAUAUGGAACAAAUUGCUGCAAUCAGUGUUUCAAAACCUGAAUCGUUUGGGUCGUUCACUCAAAUAUCCAUGUCAAAUUUUACAUUGGUGACCGGUUUGGGUUUGGAUUGGUCUGAAUUGGUGAUCUAGAAAAAUUUAAAACAUAAAAGACAUGCUGCCAGUCCGCAUAUUGUAAAAAUGCGAGCUUGUCACUAAAUAUAUUUUUAAAUAUAAUUUGAUCCUAAUUUUUAGAGAAUAUAUAAUCUUCAACAUGAAGAUCAUGAAUAUGAAAAAAAAAAAUAAGUUUGAAAAUUAGAAAUAAUAAUUAUAUUAAGAAAACAUUUGGACCAUUAGUUACACUUGAUUUUAGAUGGACCACCUAUUUGCAUCCCUCUUGAAGAUGGAUGCUUUAUACCUCUGGACCAAAUAUUGUGGAAAUGCUGGACCAAAUAUUUUGGAAAUGUGUUCCAGCCCGCAUCAAACAAUCUUCCAAACAUAAAUGAAAUAAAAUAAAAAUGAAAUUAGAGGUUUAUAGGGUGGGAUGUAGAUGGGACCCAAGAAAAUAUUAAAUAAGAUAAAAAAAAGAUAAAAAAUAUAUAAUGAGGGGUUUUAAAGGGGAAGCGGGCUCGAGUCUAUGCAAUUUAGAACCGGUUUGCUUCUGACGAUUCCCAUCCAGAUCGGGGAUUCCCAUCCAGAUCCGGAAUCGGUGGGUUUCAAAACACAGGGUUGUGAUAAUCUAUAAUAUCUUAGAGGCAAAUGAGUCUCUGAUCCAAUGCACUGGCUUAUCCCUUUGAAAAAUAAUAGCAAAAGAUAAAAUAAAGAAGACAAAAACAAUACAAAAACUAAAGGAUGAUUUUUAGAAAGUUACAAACACAGCCCGGUUUUCUAUGAUGCAUCAAGAAAUAAGGCAAUCUGAUUGCCCAGACUUGGCCGAGUUACUCAGCUGAUGCUAGGGCCGAGUCCGAGGCUCGAGCCGAGUUUAAAGACAUCGGUUCUAAAUUGAAGUGGGUAAAGAAAGACAGUCUAAAAUUUAAAAAACUUUGCAACAUACACUGUAAAAGAAAAUAGAAAGGAAGACACAAUUUUUCUGAUUUCUUGCUAUUUUUCUUUAGAGAUAACACUACUCUCUCCAAAUCUAAUAUGUUCCACAGCUAAAUCACAGAGGAGCAUAUUAUAACUAACUAUAACAUAAUUUAGGAAAGAAGAUGGAUAGAUGGAUGUGAACAUACAGUACAAGAAUUGAACUCAUACCUUUCUUCGACAGAAGAGGAACUUCUCUUACUAAAUACAGUAUCCAUUCUCCAUGAUGUCCAAAUAAAUAAUCAAUAAAAUGGGGCAAAUCUUCAUUCAGUACCAUAGUUGUCCCUCUGCCUACACCUUGCUUCUUCUCUAAGCAUCUAUGUUCAAGAAGAGAGCUGAUAUACUUGUGUAGAUCUUUGCCCCUCCCCUUUCCUCUUUCACCAAAGGCGAGGAGAAACCUUUCUCUUUACCUCUUUUACUACUUGC
rnacentral:lncRNA from 1 species